ACCAGGGUUGCUUAGUAGGUAGCGCGUUUGAUUUAAAACCGAAAGAUCCCGGGUUCGAGUCCCGGCAUGGGCC
rnacentral:tRNA from 1 species